rnacentral:tRNA from 1 species
GGGCCCGUCGUCUAGUGGUAGGACUUUAAUCCUGAAACCUGCCUGACACGCAGGAGGUCAGGGGUUCAAAUCCCCUCGGGCCCA